rnacentral:tRNA from 1 species
AGGGGCAUAGUUUAACGGUAGAACAGAGGUCUCCAAAACCUCCGGUGUGGAUUUGAUUAAUUCUACCACUGUUU